rnacentral:rRNA from 1 species
UAUGUGAACUUACCACUUGUUGCUUCGGCGCGCGCUUCGGCGCCGCCGAGGACACUUAAACUCUUUGUUUUUAUAAGCAUUUCUGAGUGGCCGAAAGGCAAAAAUACAAAUGAAUCAAAACUUUCAACAACGGAUCUCUUGGUUCUGGCAUCGAUGAAGAACGCAGCGAAAUGCGAUAAGUAAUGUGAAUUGCAGAAUUCAGUGAAUCAUCGAAUCUUUGAACGCACAUUGCGCCCGCCAGCAUUCUGGCGGGCAUGCCUGUUCGAGCGUCAUUUCAACCCUCGAGCCCGACUCUUCGGAGGACGGCUCGGCGUUGGGGGACGGCAGACUCCCCCCGGCAUCUCGCCGGGGACGCCGCCCCCGAAAUUUAGUGGCGGCCCUCCGAGGCGACCUCUGCGUAGUAACUUGUUCUCGCACCGGAAAGCUCAGAGCGGCCACGCCGUAAAACCCCAACUUUUUUUAGGUUGACCUCGAAUCAG